rnacentral:lncRNA from 1 species
CCUGCCCAGAUUUACGCAUCUCUCUCUCUCUCGGUCUGUGGCUUUUUUAUUGAAAGUUUUGAAAACAAAAAUUCUCAAAUCCUUGAAUAACCCUAAUAGGCUAAUCCCCAACCUUUUUAUUCUUUUCCCUAAUUACCAUCUCAAAGGAGAUCGUCGGCCACAAACAAUAAAGAAGAACAAGUGAAGGUUGAUGAGUUUCGAUCGGCUGUCGGCAACUCCUUGGAUAAUUCGAUUCGAACCCCAUUUUUAGCCAACAACUCAUUUCUUUCGAUUAUUGGUUAGUAAUUGUGGCCCUUUUUAAUACUUGUGUCAAGAUUUAAAAUAACCCUUUUUUGUAUUAAAACAAUUUUUUUAGGCAAGGUGUUUUGAUGUUUUAAUUUUUUAAAUUUUUUUUUUUUUUGCUAUGUGUAAUGUAUUUGAUUAACAAUAAUUUUUUAUCUAUGUUAUGUUUAUGGAUUAUAUUAUUAUGCUACAUUUUUUUUUUUUUGCAAAAGGUAUGCAUUUGGUAUUCGAAGUCUCCAAUUCCCUGUUCAUGAUCAUCCAUCGGAUUCGGAUCCAAAUGCAUUUGCGACUAUAAAUAAUUGGAAUUAAUUAGGCGUGUAAAUUUUGCUAAACUUCAACAGUAGUAUUAAUUUAUAGAAAUAAAAUGAGGUAGAAAGUCUUUAACACGUCUUCCAACAUUUCAUUCUGAAUUUGAAAUGAUGUUCACCGGAUUAUAUAAGCAUUUAACAAAUAACAAAUGAAUAGAAAUAUAAGCAUAACUAAUUAAUGUAGUGUAUAGUACAAAAUAGUUGAAAAAUAAGCGAGGUUUAGUAUUCUUGUUGAUGAAGUGUAGUACAAAAUAGAUUAAUGAGGUUUUGAAAAAUAACUGAUUAAACAUAACUGAUUAAUGCAAAGUUUAGUAUUCUUGUUGAUGAAGCUCGAGAUGCAUCUUCACAAGAACAAAUGAUUAUUAUCUUGAGGUUUGUGAGUGGUAAUGGAAUUUUGACAGAACGUUUUUUUUGCAAUCAAAAGUGUUAGUGACACUACAUCGUUGAAUCUUAAGAAUCAAAUAUCUGAUGUUUUUGUUCAACCUUCAACUGCAAAACAUGAGAGGUCAAUGGUAUGAUAGUGCUAAUAACAUGCGUAGUGCUUGGAAUGGACUACAAGCAUUAUUUCUUAGAGAUUGUCUGUAUGCGUAUUAUGUCCAUUGUUUUGCCCAUCGUUUACAACUCAUGUUAGUUUCAGCAGCUAGGGAUGUCGCAGAUAUUAAUUCAUUCUUUUCAGAUUUGGACAAUGUUAUUAAUAUGAUUACAUCAUCUCCUAAGCGCAUCAAUGAGUUGAAAAGUUUCCAAAAAAAAGAAAUUGAACAUUUGUUCGAAAUUGGAGAACGAAAGACUAGAAGUGGGGCUAAUCAAGUUGGUAACUUGCAACGAGCUGGAGGUACCCGUUGGUCUUCUCAUUACAACUCUGUAAAGAAUUUGAUUGAUAUGUAUGCUGCAACUUGCAAGGUGCUUGAGUAUCUUGGUGAUCAUUCUCCAAAUGUAAGAACUCAAUCUGAAGUGGGUGGUGUAUACAAAAAAUUGACAACAUUUGAAUUUGUAUUUAUUUUGCAUUUAAUGCACCUAAUGUUGGCAAUCACAGAUAUGCUUUGUCAAGCCCUUCAGAAAAAAACUCAAGACAUUUUAACUGCUAUGAGAUUUGUCCAUACUACAAAAACCAUCAUUCAAGAAUUGAGAUCCCUGGGAAGAAUUUCUUGAAGAGGUGAAUUAUUUUUGCUCAAAAAAUGAUAUACAUAUACCUGACUUUCACGGUUCAUACAUGGUUGGUUGUUCUCGUGGUCAUGAGUAUCCUACCAUCGAACAUCAUUACCACUUCGAUAUUUUUAAUGCAGCUAUAGAUUUUCUGAUGACGGAGUUAGAUACAAGAUUUAAUGAGACAUCAUUAGAACUCCUUUCUCUCGAUGUGGCAUUGGAUCCGAAAAAUUCUUUUGACUCAUUUAACAUGGAUAAUAUUUGCAAGCCUGCAGAGAAAUUUUAUCCUCAAGACUUUACACAAUAAGAUAUUUAUAAUUUGAAAGUUGAGUUGCAACAUUUUCAGCAUAAUGUGAUUUCUAAACCUCGAUUUCAAGUAACUACACCUUUUGAUUUAUGUCAAGAAUUGGUUGCAAGUAGAAGAUCGGAGAGUUACGUCAAUUUGACUAAAUUGAUUCGUCUAGUAUUGACACUGCCUGUUUCAACGGUCACUGUGGAGCGAGCAUUUUCUGCAAUGAAACAUGUGAAGACGAAAAUUCGUAACAAAAUGGAUGAUGAUUUUCUUGCUGAUUGUAUGACACUUUACAUUGAACGAGAAUCUUCUUUGGAUUUAGAUUUAGAUUCUAUUAUUGAUGAAUUUUAUGCUAUAAAGUAUUGUCG